AGGACAGCCACUUGCUGGUCGGUGACCUUGGGCGGGAUGCUGCCUGCUUCCCUCUGACAAAAAAGAACGUUCGGGCCCCUGCCAUGAGCCUGGACUUGCUCUGCCGGCAGGGGAAGGAAUGCAGCUCUGGCCGCUGCAGCCUCAGCCCCUGCUGCUGCCACCCCAGUGGGCACGGGGACAAAGGCCUCUUCUCAGGCCUGUCCUCUCCAGCUCCCUGGAUCAGUGGGGGCAGAGCAUCAACCAGGAGGCUUGGUUACUGACCAGCCGAGUCGCCGUUCCUCUCUGGACCUUUGUGCCCUUUCUAGAAAAUGGAAGCAGAGCAUCCGCCUGACCUACUUCUCAGCAUUGUGGGGGGGCUCCAAAGAGGUAAAGUCACAGAAAUACGGACCUCUCCGCACCUCCUUCAGCCUGAGGCUCUGCCUAAUCAGACACCCCUGUGCCUCCCCUGACCCUCCCUCCUUCCCUCGUGCUUCACCUGGCCGGCCCCAACUCACUCAGUUUCGCUCAGCAGGACCGUCCCUCGCUCAAGGGAGCCUUCCCUCACCUCCAGACUGCACUGCUCCUUCAGGGUAUUUAUCACUGUUGUAAUUAAAUAAUUAAUUGUGUGA